UCGUUAACUCCUCACCACCACCACCACCAGUACCAGCACCACCAGUACCACCACCUCCCUCUCUCUCUCUCUCCUUUUCCCUCUGUUCGUGUUCGGUGCGAUUGCGAAGCGGAAAGCGAAUGCUCCUCUCCGGAUUGCCAUGAACUCCAACGCUUCCUCCAACCCCCAGUCGAUGGCCACCUCCACGACGUCGGCGACCACGCCGGCGGCGGGCGGCGACGGCGGCAAGAAGGUCAGGAAGCCCUACACGAUCACCAAGUCCAGGGAGAGCUGGACCGAGGAGGAGCACGACAAGUUCCUCGAGGCCCUCCAGCUGUUUGACCGCGAUUGGAAGAAAAUUGAGGAUUUUGUGGGCUCAAAGACUGUCAUUCAGAUCCGAAGCCAUGCCCAGAAAUACUUCUUGAAAGUCCAAAAGAAUGGGGCAGUUGCACAUGUUCCACCUCCUCGUCCUAAACGCAAAGCUGCUCAUCCCUACCCUCAAAAGGCAUCGAAAAAUGUUUUAGUGCCGCUGCAAGCAUCCAUGGCCCAGCCUUCUUCAACAAAUCCUGCUUUUACAAUUACACCAGGAAAUGUUUCAUGGGAUGAUGCAUCCGUGCUCAUAAACAAUGCAUCCAGCAAUAAUAUAUUAAGCCAGGAUGAGUUUAGCAAUUUCCAAGCUGAUAUUGGAUCAAAGGGCUCAUCAAGGGUUAGUUGCAGCACUGCUGCUGGUGUCCGAAGUUCGAGUAGAACGCCAUCUAGCUCGGAGAUAUCUAAACAACAGAGACAAACACCCGUAAUGCAUGGGAUACCUGAUUUUUCUGAAGUAUAUGGCUUCAUUGGGAGUGUCUUUGAUCCAAAUGCCAAAGGCCAUGUGCAAAAGCUAAAGGAAAUGGACCCUAUCAAUUUUGAAACUGUUCUAUUGUUGAUGAGGAACCUCACCUUUAAUUUGUCAAGUCCAGAUUUUGUACCAGUGAGGAAGGUGCUGUCAUCCUAUGAUGUGAAUACCAAAACUGUAGGUGCUCCAUUAGAAAAUGUUGUACAGAGCGAUCUGACAUGUUGAAUUGCUUGGCCCAUUGGUUCUGAAGCAGCACCCUUUGAUGUCAAAGCCCCACCUGCAUAGUUGCAGCAUCAACCUGGAGGUGCAGGGGGUCGCCAGACUGCCAGUGGCUAUUCAGAGAAUGUGGAGGUUGAAGUACGUUUGUUUGUUCUUUUGGGACUUGAACACUAACCUGCCCUUGUACUGUCUCACUAAUAAUUGGAGGAAUUUGAGUUGCUGUGUAUCUUCUAUCAUAGAUAAUUAGGCAGGCUGAACACUUCCUGGUACAAGUCUUCGAUUAGAGCAUCAAUCAAGCGAUGGGCAUCUGACGUGGCAAGGGAUGAAAAAUGCAGCAUCCUUCAACUAGCUGGCAAUUCAGGUAAGCAAACAAGCCCAAGGCUGGUUGAUUUAGAUUAAAAUGUCUACCCCAAUAAAAGGAAGAGCAGUUCUUAUUCUCUUCAUGUUGGCGAAUAAUUUCGUAAAGGAAGAAAAUUACUAUCUGUUUUGGUUGUUGGGGUUGACAACACAAACAAUUGGACACAAAAAUUCAAGCCAGCUUGUAAAGAAUGUGACCUGUGAUAA